CAACUUUCAGCAACGGAUCUCUUGGCUCUCGCAUCGAUGAAGAACGCAGCGAAAUGCGAUAAGUAAUGUGAAUUGCAGAAUUCAGUGAAUCAUCAAAUCUUUGAACGCACCUUGCGCUCCUUGGUAUUCCGAGGAGCAUGCCUGUUUGAGUGUCAUUAA
rnacentral:rRNA from 1 species